UAUGAAUCACACGAGUAAGAGAUGGUUUUUCUCUCACCGAUUUUCUUCUUUGAGGUUGUUUUCUGCUGUUCUUUCUUCCAAGCAUGGGAACCAUGUCAGUUCGAUUUGGCAAACAUGAAUGGCAUGGUUCGUAUCUUUCUUCACCAAGGUGUGCGCUGCCAGUUUUUUGUUGUAUUCUAGUAGGAGAUGCUAGAAUUUGAACGAUUUCAUUUUUUGUCUUCUCACAAUGGACAUGUUUAUUAGUUUUUACUGAGUUUCUAACUGUUUUCACAACAUUAUUUGUUGAAGUACUUCUCAUUUUAUCAGCAGCUGUUUCUUUCCAGGAACCAUUUCUAAUUUCAAGAUGUACAUUAGUGCCGAGGACAGAUUCAAAAGCCUUCAAGAUAUGACUCCUGAAACUCUCAGCUUUUGAUUUGUUUACGUUUGAACUUAACAUCAACUCUACAGUAUAAUCUGUUUAUAACAAAGAUUUAUUAGAUCAUUCCUAUCAUAAUGUAAGGUCGUACCAUCAAAAAUUAUAAGGAGAGUAAACGGCAUAGUUACCUGCAGAUCUUGUACCAAAGCUGAUAGAUGUGAGCAUCGCUUCUUGAUGCAUAAAAUAUUUCAGGGUAUUUAUUUGGAUAUUCUCAAUUACUGCUAUCCAGAUUUUCUCAACAUCCAUAAAUUCAUUAUUUUGAUUGCAUUGGUUUGCUUGUCUAGUUUCCGCAGAAUGAAUUGGACUCCUGAGAUUGACAUUAUCCGUGUCCUUUUCAUUUUUACAUAAAUGUUCUUGCCCGUUGGCAUUGUUCAGGGUAUCACCCUCAUUUGUGAUAUUCAUGACCAUUGGACUGUUGCUAAAACUAUUAUCUGUGGAAGAGUUUGGUAGCAUAUACUGCUCAUCUGGAGCAAGCUGGAGCAGUGCAGCU
rnacentral:lncRNA from 1 species